GAUGAACGCUGGCGGCGUGCUUAACACAUGCAAGUCGAACGAUGAAGCCCAGCUUGCUGGGUGGAUUAGUGGCGAACGGGUGAGUAACACGUGAGUAACCUGCCCUUAACUCUGGGAUAAGCCUGGGAAACUGGGUCUAAUACCGGAUAGGAGCGUCCACCGCAUGGUGGGUGUUGGAAAGCUUUAUCGGUUUUGGAUGGACUCGCGGCCUAUCAGCUUGUUGGUGAGGUAAUGGCUCACCAAGGCGACGACGGGUAGCCGGCCUGAGAGGGUGACCGGCCACACUGGGACUGAGACACGGCACAGACUCCUACGGGAGGCAGCAGUGGGGAAUAUUGCACAAUGGGCGCAAGCCUGAUGCAGCGACGCCGCGUGAGGGAUGACGGCCUUCGGGUUGUAAACCUCUUUCAGUAGGGAAGAAGCGAAAGUGACGGUACCUGCAGAAGAAGCACCGGCUAACUACGUG
rnacentral:rRNA from 1 species